AGUUAAUGAGCAACAUCACCAAGGUGCUGAUGGUCACUUUGCAUUCUUCCAGGGCCUGCUCUUCAGCAGGAAGACCCUUCCAUGGAUGCUGCAGAGGACAAGGAAGCUGCAGGACUGCAGCAAGCUGGGCCUGCUCUUCAGCAGGAAGACACCUCCAGGGAUGCUGCAGAGGAUCAGG